AGAGUUUGAUCCUGGCUCAGAUUGAACGCUGGCGGCAUGCCUUACACAUGCAAGUCGAACGGUAACAGGUCUUCGGACGCUGACGAGUGGCGAACGGGUGAGUAAUACAUCGGAACGUGCCCGAUCGUGGGGGAUAACGGAGCGAAAGCUUUGCUAAUACCGCAUACGAUCUACGGAUGAAAGCAGGGGACCGCAAGGCCUUGCGCGGACGGAGCGGCCGAUGGCAGAUUAGGUAGUUGGUGGGAUAAAAGCUUACCAAGCCGACGAUCUGUAGCUGGUCUGAGAGGAUGAUCAGCCACACUGGGACUGGGACACGGCCCAGACUCCUACGGGAGGCAGCAGUGGGGAAUUUUGGACAAUGGGCGCAAGCCUGAUCCAGCCAUGCCGCGUGCAGGAUGAAGGCCUUCGGGUUGUAAACUGCUUUUGUACGGAACGAAAAGCUUUCCUCUAAUAAAGGGGGGUCAUGACGGUACCGUAAGAAUAAGCACCGGCUAACUACGUGCCAGCAGCCGCGGUAAUACGUAGGGUGCAAGCGUUAAUCGGAAUUACUGGGCGUAAAGCGUGCGCAGGCGGUUUUGUAAGACAGAGGUGAAAUCCCCGGGCUCAACCUGGGAACUGCCUUUGUGACUGCAAGGCUGGAGUGCGGCAGAGGGGGAUGGAAUUUCCGCGUGUAGCAGUGAAAUGCGUAGAUAUGCGGAGGAACACCGAUGGCGAAGGCAAUCCCCUGGGCCCGCACUGGACCUCCUGCCCGAAAAGCGGGGGGAAGAAAACAGAUUAAAAUACCCUGGUAACUCCCCGCCCUAAACCAAUGCCAACUGGUUGGUGGGGAAUUUAUUUUUUUCAAUAACAUA
rnacentral:rRNA from 1 species